rnacentral:rRNA from 1 species
AUUGAACGCUGGCGGCAGGCCUAACACAUGCAAGUCGAGCGGAGCGGCGGAAGGGUGAGUAAUGCCUAGGAAGCUGCCUGGUAGUGGGGGAUAACGUCCGGAAACGGGCGCUAAUAACGCAUACUCUCAGAUGAGCCUAGGUCGGAGUAGCUAGUUGGUGGGGUAAAGUCCUACCAAGGCGACGAUCCGUAACUGGUCUGAGAUGAUGAUCAGUCACACUGGAACUGAGAAACGGUCUAGAAUCCUACGGGAGGCAGCAGUGGGGAAUAUUUGACAAUGGGCGAAAGCCUGAUCCAGUCAUGCCGCGUGUGUGAAGAAGGCCUUCGGAUUGUAAAGCACUUUAAGUUGUGAGGCGUUACCAACAGAAUAAGCACCGGCUAACUUCGUGCCAGCAGCCGCGGUAAUAC